GAUGAACGCUGGCGGCGUGCUUAACACAUGCAAGUCGAACGGAAAGGCCCUGCUUUUGUGGGGUGCUCGAGUGGCGAACGGGUGAGUAACACGUGUGUAACCUGCCCUUGACUUUGGGAUAACUUCAGGAAACUGGGGCUAAUACCGGAUAGGAGCUCCUGCUGCAUGGUGGGGGUUGGAAAGUUUCGGCGGUUGGGGAUGGACUCGCAGCUUAUCAGCUUGUUGGUGGGGUAGUGGCUUACCAAGGCUUUGACGGCUAGCCGGCCUGAGAGGGUGGCCGGCGACAUUGGGACUGAGAUACGGCGCAGAAUCCUACGGGAGGCAGCAGUCGGGAAUAUUGCACAAUGGGCGGACGCGUGAUGCGGCGGCGCCGCGUGCGGGAUGACGGGCUUCGGGUUGAGAACCGCUUUCGCCUGUGACGAAGCGUGAGUGACGGUAAUGGGUAAAGAAGCACCGGCUAACUACGUG
rnacentral:rRNA from 1 species